rnacentral:rRNA from 1 species
UGCAAGUCGAACGCUGAUAGCCCUGAGAUGCUUGCACCGGGGUGGAUGAGUGGCGAACGGGUGAGUAACACGUGAGUAACCUGCCCCCGACUUCGGGAUAAGCCCGGGAAACUGGGUCUAAUACCGGAUAUGACCACCAAAGGCAUGAGUGAUGGUGGAAAGUUUUUUCGGUUGGGGAUGGGCUCGCGGCCUAUCAGUUUGUUGGUGAGGUAAUGGCUCACCAAGACGACGACGGGUAGCCGGCCUGAGAGGGCGACCGGCCACACUGGGACUGAGACACGGCCCAGACUCCUACGGGAGGCAGCAGUGGGGAAUAUUGCACAAUGGGGGAAACCCUGAUGCAGCGACGCAGCGUGCGGGAUGACGGCCUUCGGGUUGUAAACCGCUUUCAGCAGGGAAGAAGCCUUUAUCGGUGACGGUACCUGCAGAAGAAGUACCGGCUAACUACGUGCCAGCAGCCGCGGUAAUACGUAGGGUACAAGCGUUGUCCGGAAUUAUUGGGCGUAAAGAGCUCGUAGGUGGUUGGUCACGUCUGCUGUGGAAACGCAACGCUUAACGUUGCGCGUGCAGUGGGUACGGGCUGACUAGAGUGCAGUAGGGGAGUCUGGAAUUCCUGGUGUAGCGGUGAAAUGCGCAGAUAUCAGGAGGAACACCGGUGGCGAAGGCGGGACUCUGGGCUGUAACUGACACUGAGGAGCGAAAGCAUGGGGAGCGAACAGGAUUAGAUACCCUGGUAGUCCAUGCCGUAAACGUUGGGCACUAGGUGUGGGGGACAUUCCACGUUCUCCGCGCUGACUAGAGUGCAGUAGGGGAGUCUGGAAUUCCUGGUGUAGCGGUGAAAUGCGCAGAUAUCAGGAGGAACACCGGUGGCGAAGGCGGGACUCUGGGCUGUAACUGACACUGAGGAGCGAAAGCAUGGGGAGCGAACAGGAUUAGAUACCCUGGUAGUCCAUGCCGUAAACGUUGGGCACUAGGUGUGGGGGACAUUCCACGUUCUCCGCGCCGUAGCUAACGCAUUAAGUGCCCCGCCUGGGGAGUACGGUCGCAAGGCUAAAACUCAAAGGAAUUGACGGGGGCCCGCACAAGCGGCGGAGCAUGCGGAUUAAUUCGAUGCAACGCGAAGAACCUUACCAAGGCUUGACAUACACCAGACCGUUCUGGAAACAGUUCCUCCCCUUUGGGGUUGGUGUACAGGUGGUGCAUGGUUGUCGUCAGCUCGUGUCGUGAGAUGUUGGGUUAAGUCCCGCAACGAGCGCAACCCUCGUUCUAUGUUGCCAGCACGUGAUGGUGGGAACUCAUAGGAGACUGCCGGGGUCAACUCGGAGGAAGGUGGGGAUGACGUCAAAUCAUCAUGCCCUUUAUGUCUUGGGCUUCACGCAUGCUACAAUGGCUGGUACAGAGAGAUGCGAGACCGCGAGGUUUUAGCGAAUCCCUUAAAGCCAGUCU